rnacentral:rRNA from 1 species
GAUGAACGCUCGCGGCGUACCUAAUACAUGCAAGUCGAGCGAACAGACGAGGAGCUUGCUCCUCUGACGUUAGCGGCGGACGGGUGAGUAACACGUGGAUAACCUACCUAUAAGACUGGGAUAACUUCGGGAAACCGGAGCUAAUACCGGAUAAUAUAUUGAACCGCAUGGUUCAAUAGUGAAAGACGGUUUUGCUGUCACUUAUAGAUGGAUCCGCGCCGCAUUAGCUAGUUGGUAAGGUAACGGCUUACCAAGGCGACGAUGCGUAGCCGACCUGAGAGGGUGAUCGGCCACACUGGAACUGAGACACGGUCCAGACUCCUACGGGAGGCAGCAGUAGGGAAUCUUCCGCAAUGGGCGAAAGCCUGACGGAGCAACGCCGCGUGAGUGAUGAAGGUCUUCGGAUCGUAAAACUCUGUUAUUAGGGAAGAACAAAUGUGUAAGUAACUAUGCACGUCUUGACGGUACCUAAGCAGAAAGCCACGGCUAACUACGU